rnacentral:rRNA from 1 species
AGAACGAACGCUGGCGGCAGGCCUAACACAUGCAAGUCGAGCGCUGUAGCAAUACAGAGCGGCGCACGGGAGAGUAAUACGUGGGAACCUACCCUUUGGUUCGGAAUAACGUCGGGAAACUGACGCUAAUACCGAAUAAGCCCUUCGGGGGAAAGAUUUAUUGCCGAAGGAUGGGCCCAUGUUGGAUUAGCUAGUUGGUGAGGUAACGGCUCACCAAGGCAACGAUCCAUAGCUGGUCUGAGAGGAUGAUCAGCCUCACUGGGACUGAGACACGGCCCAGACUCCUACGGGAGGCAGCAGUGGGGAAUAUUGGACAAUGGGGGCAACCCUGAUCCAGCCAUGCCGCGUGAGUGAUGAAGGCCUUCGGGUUGUAAAGCUCGUUUUGGCGGGGACGAUGAUGACGGUACCGCAGAAUAACGCCCGGCUAACUUCGUGCUAGCAGCCGC